rnacentral:rRNA from 1 species
UCAGGCCUAACACAUGCAAGUCGAGGGGUACAGUAGCAAUACUGGAGACCGGCGCACGGGUGCGUAACGCGUAUGCAACCUACCUUUUACAGGGGAAUAGCCCAGAGAAAUUUGGAUUAAUGCCCCAUGGUAUAUGUAAUUCGCAUGUUUUACAUAUUAAAGUUCCAACGGUAAAAGAUGGGCAUGCGUCCCAUUAGCUAGAUGGUAAGGUAACGGCUUACCAUGGCUACGAUGGGUAGGGGUCCUGAGAGGGAGAUCCCCCACACUGGUACUGAGACACGGACCAGACUCCUACGGGAGGCAGCAGUGAGGAAUAUUGGACAAUGGGCGCAAGCCUGAUCCAGCCAUGCCGCGUGCAGGAAGAAGCAUCUAUGGUGUUAAGCUGCUUUUGUACGGGAAGAAAC